AUACGUAGGUCCCGAACGUUGCGCGAAAUUACUCGGCGUAAAGGGUCCGUAGGCGGUCUGGUAAGUGGAAGGUGAAAGCCUGGGGCUCAACUCCAGAAUUGCCUUCCAAACUGCCGGACUUGAGGCAGGGAGAGGUCGGCGGAAUUCCCGGUGUAGUGGUGAAAUGCGUAGAUAUCGGGAGGAACACCAGUGGCGAAGGCGGCCGACUGGAACUGUCCUGACGCUGAGGGACGAAAGCCAGGGGAGCGAACCGGAGUAGAAACCCUAGUAGUCC
rnacentral:rRNA from 1 species